GACGUAGGGUGCGAGCGUUGUCCGGAUUUAUUGGGCGUAAAGAGCUCGUAGGCGGCUCGUCGCGUCGACCGUGAAAACCCGCGGCUUAACUGCGGGCUUGCGGUUGAUACGGGCGGGCUAGAGAUUCGGUAGGGGAGACUGGAAUUCCUGGUGUAGCGGUGAAAUGCGCAGAUAUCAGGAGGAACACCGGUGGCGAAGGCGGGUCUCUGGGCCGAUACUGACGCUGAGGAGCGAAAGGCGUGGGGAGCGAACAGG
rnacentral:rRNA from 1 species